AACGUAGGACACAAGCGUUAUCCGGAGUUACUGGGCGUAAAGGGCGCGUAGGCGGCCAUCUAAGUCGGACGUGAAAUCCCUCGGCUUAACCGAGGAACUGCGUCCGAUACUGGAAGGCUUGAAUCCGGGAGAGGGAUGUGGAAUUCCAGGUGUAGCGGUGAAAUGCGUAGAUAUCAGGAGGAACACCAAUGGCGAAGGCAGCUCGCUGGAACGGUACUGACGCUGAGGCGCGAAAGCGUGGGGAGCGAACAGG
rnacentral:rRNA from 1 species